rnacentral:rRNA from 1 species
UACGUAGGUGGCAAGCGUUGUCCGGAUUUAUUGGGCGUAAAGCGAGCGCAGGCGGUUUCUUAAGUCUGAUGUGAAAGCCCCCGGCUCAACCGGGGAGGGUCAUUGGAAACUGGGAAACUUGAGUGCAGAAGAGGAGAGUGGAAUUCCAUGUGUAGCGGUGAAAUGCGUAGAUAUAUGGAGGAACACCAGUGGCGAAGGCGGCUCUCUGGUCUGUAACUGACGCUGAGGCUCGAAAGCGCGGGGAGCAAACCGG